CAUUUGAAGACUUUGCUGAGUUCUUAAAUAGCAACUUAUAAAAACUCUACAUGUAUGCUUUAAGAGUCAUCCUCUCAUCCUUUCAUCUAACAAGCAAUCACUCAAAUCUUGAGUGCCAAAUGAAGUAACUUUGAAGUCAGAUAGUUCAUCUUAUGGUCGGCCUUUUCUGUUCCAGCAGAACCUGCAAUAGCUUUCAUCUUCCUGGAAUUAAAAACGUCAGUUAUGACAUUUAUAAGACAGUAUACAGUCUGUGCAUCAAAAGUAAUUGCACCAUGUGGUGGUAUUGGUUUCAGUCCUGUGUGUUUGUCUGUCCGCAUAGCAACAAAAUUACUCCAAAAGACUUUUGAUCUGAUUUGGACCAGACUUGGUGGAUGAUUGAGAUUCAGCCUAUUACAAAGUAAUUAGAAUUUGGGGAACAUUGGAUAAAAGUCAAAGCCACAGGCCAAGGUCAUAACUGCAGAUAUUCACAAUGGCUGUUCUGAGGAAUUGGUUUUACAUUCAUCAGUGAACAUGGGAUUCCUGCAGACCUCAAGGGUAUAUUUUUUUAAAUGUAUUUUCUGAUUCGUUACAGUUACUCAGCUAAAAUUUAUGUAGUUACCACCUAUAUAGUUGUCUGCAAUUUCACUUCUUUUGAUAAUAUUUGACUAAAUACCGUGGGCUUCAUAACUUGUCAUACAGGGUCCACUUGGAUUCAAGUUUGGGAACUGGGUAGCCUCUGCAGCAAAAUUUAAUUUUAUCUGUAAUCUUUCCCUUGGCCACAUUACUUUUGACCUUGUGAAUCUGAAAUGUCAGAUUACUUUAGAAUACUUAUUCUGAGAAAUAGGUUAAAUGACUAUUUAAACAGCACGUUAAUUGUCAAAGCAUUUUACAGUGAUGCCUUAUUAUAUUUACCUAUUCACAUAAACUGAUGUCAGGAUGUGAUUCAAGGAGCUCAGCUGCACACUGGGAGAAACUUAUGAAUGAACUUGUAAGUGACGUUCUUGUCUGACCUGGAUUUGAACUGAGGAUCCUCUAGUUACAAGCCCAGUGUUUUAACCUCAAGAACAUC